rnacentral:rRNA from 1 species
UACAGAGGGUGCGAGCGUUGUCCGGAAUCACUGGGCGUAAAGAGCGCGCAGGCGGUCGAUCAAGUCGAGUGUGAAAGCCCCCGGCUCAACUGGGGAGGGUCAUUCGAUACUGAUCGACUCGAAGGCAGGAGAGGGUAGUGGAAUUCCCGGUGUAGUGGUGAAAUGCGUAGAUAUCGGGAGGAACACCAGUGGCGAAGGCGACUACCUGGCCUGUUCUUGACGCUGAGGCGCGAAAGCUAGGGGAGCAAACGGG